CAACCUGCCGUCUACUCUUGGCCAGCCUUCUGAAAGGAAGAUUAAUCCAGGAUGGCAUCAUGAGUUCACAUGUCCGCAUGAUUAAAGGUAUUUUCCGGUAGACGAUGGGGAUGCGUUCCAUUAGAUAGUAGGCGGGGUAACGGCCCACCUAGUCAACGAUGGAUAGGGGUUCUGAGUGGAAGGUCCCCCACAUUGGAACUGAGACACGGUCCAAACUCCUACGGGAGGCAGCAGUGAGGAAUAUUGGUCAAUGGGCGAUGGCCUGAACCAGCCAAGUAGCGUGAAGGAUGACUGCCCUAUGGGUUGUAAACUUCUUUUAUAAAGGAAUAAAGUCGGGUAUGCAUACCCGUUUGCAUGUACUUUAUGAAUAAGGAUCGGCUAACUCCGUGCCAGCAGCCGCGGUAAUACGGAGGAUCCGAGCGUUAUCCGGAUUUAUUGGGUUUAAAGGGAGCGUAGAUGGAUGUUUAAGUCAGUUGUGAAAGUUUGCGGCUCAACCGUAAAAUUGCAGUUGAUACUGGAUGUCUUGAGUGCAGUUGAGGCAGGCGGAAUUCGUGGUGUAGCGGUGAAAUGCUUAGAUAUCACGAAGAACUCCGAUUG
rnacentral:rRNA from 1 species